rnacentral:rRNA from 1 species
GACGAACGCUGGCGGCGUGCUUAACACAUGCAAGUCGAACGGAAAGGCCCUGCUUUUGUGGGGUGCUCGAGUGGCGAACGGGUGAGUAACACGUGAGUAACCUGCCCUUGACUUUGGGAUAACUUCAGGAAACUGGGGCUAAUACCGGAUAGGAGCUCCUGCUGCAUGGUGGGGGUUGGAAAGUUUCGGCGGUUGGGGAUGGACUCGCGGCUUAUCAGCUUGUUGGUGGGGUAGUGGCUUACCAAGGCGUUGACGGGUAGCCGGCCUGAGAGGGUGACCGGCCACAUUGGGACUGAGCUACGGCCCGGACUCCUACGGGAGGCAGCAGUGGGGAAUGUUGCACAAUGGGCGGAAGCCUGAUGCAGCAACGCCGCGUGCGGGAUGACGGCCUUCGGGUUGUAAACCGCUUUCGCCUGUGACGAAGCGUGAGUGACGGUAAUGGGUAAAGAAGCACCGGCUAACUACGUG